AAGCUUUAACAAGAACGAGAAAGAACUUCGAAGCUAAAACCUCUAAACCAACUUCUUUUAAAGCUUUAUGUAUAGUUAUGGAGUGCUUUGUUGGUGGUGGUUGUUGGUUCAUGUGAAUCAUGAAAAUUCCAGAGAAAUAAGGAUGAAAUUAGUAGACUUAAAUCACGGUAAUAUGUAUGAUAAGUGAAACUGUAAUCAAA
rnacentral:lncRNA from 1 species